GCAUAUCAAUAAGCGGAGGAAAAGAAACUAACAAGGAUUCCCCUAGUAACUGCGAAGUGAAGCGGGAUGAAGCUCAAAUUUAAAAUCUGGCGUCUUCGGCGUCCGAAGUUGUAAUUUAGAGAAGUGUUUUCCGCGCCGGACCGUGUACAAGUCUCCUGGAACGGAGCGUCAUAGAGGGUGAGAAUCCCGUCUUUGACACGGACCCCCGGUGCUCUGUGAUACGCUCUCGAAGAGUCGAGUUGUUUGGGAAUGCAGCUCAAAAUGGGUGGUGAACUCCAUCUAAAGCUAAAUAUUGGCGAGAGACCGAUAGCGAACAAGUACCGUGAGGGAAAGAUGAAAAGCACUUUGGAAAGAGAGUGAAAUAGUACGUGAAAUUGUUGAAAGGGAAACGCUUGAAGUCAGUCGCGUCCGCCGGGAUUCAGCCUUACGGUGUACUUUCCGGUGGACGGGCCAGCAUCACUUUCAAUCAUCGGAAAAGGGCGAGGGGAAUGUGGCACCUCCGGGUGUGUUAUAGCCCUUUGUCGUAUACGGUGACUGGGAGUGAGGACCGCCUUUGUAGGAUGCUGGCGUAAUGGCUUUAAACGACCCGUCUUGAAACACGGACCAAGGAGUCUAACAUGCCCGCGAGUGUUUGGGUGGAAAACCCAUGCGCGUAAUGAAAGUGAAAGUUGGGAAGGCUGUCGUGGCCUGCACCGACGCCCGGACUUGAGAUUUAUCGAAGGUUCUGCGGUAGAGCGUGUAUGUUGGGACCCGAAAGAUGGUGAACUAUGCCUGAAUAGGGUGAAGCCAGAGGAAACUCUGGUGGAGGCUCGUAGCGAUUUCUGACGUGCAAAUCGAUCGUCAAAUUUGGGUAAUAAGGGGCGAAAGACUAAUCGAACCAUCUAGUAGCUGGGUUCCUGCCGAA
rnacentral:rRNA from 1 species